GUUUUUGAAGAAGCGCAAAAGAAAAAUCAAUUUCUUUUAGUAAAAGUAGAGGGAGUAGGUACAUGGAUAGAAGACCUGUCACCCCCCUGAUACUCAUACAGCUCAGAAAGCAAUAUGCACAACAGGAAACAAAGAGACAGAGGCUGAUUAGGUAAGUAUACACCAUAAAAUUAAGAGUGUGAGUUAUCUGAGAUAAAAUUGCAUAAGCUAAGCAAAAGCUUAGCUGUAAUAACAUAUGCAAUGGAUCCUGAAUUGUAUGCCUAAAGAUGCAUUGCUAUCAGAUUCAAAAUAGAAUAUUUUUUUAUUUUUUUUUUAUUUUUUUUAUAAUAGUUUAUAUUGUGGGUAACAGCUUUCUAAUCCAAGGAGAAACACAACUGUCAUUUUUGGAUCAAGAAGGACUUUUUUUUAUGUUUGAUCUUUUUUAGUCUGGGGAGAUACCUCAGUGGGCUAAUGCAUGAUCAGUAGACUCUGUUCAGCCCUUGGGUUGCAGAUUCAAAUAUUGGUAGCAUUGACUCAGCCCUUCAUCCUUCCAAGGUAGAUAAAAUGAGUACCAUUAAAUUGGGUAAUAGUAACAACCCUUGGAUCUUGGGCUAAGGUAACCUUCCCAGGAUGUACUUGAAAACCAAAGUGAUCUGAAUAUAACUUUCCUAGUUAAAAACUUUGUAAUUAUUUAACAUAACUUUAAAUUGUGUUUGUUUGUUUUUUGGCCUUCUUUUGAAUCAGCAGCAAAAACAGAGAUUUGUGAAAGGUUGAAUUUGAUGGACAUGAGUGUUUUAUCAGCCUAAAUUACUAUGUAAGUACCCUUUACAUACCCUUACAGUGCAUAAGGCUUUCUUCUGACUUGUUCCCCUGUAUCUACAUGUCAUUAUAACUUUAGAUUAAACUACACAGUUUUAUUGGACACAGUUCUGUGUAAGUGGCAUUGCCAUGGCAGCUGCUUACACGGAAAGGAGGAUUUGUGGCAUGAAAUAUUGUGGUUUUAAAAACUUUUAUGAAUGAAAAUAUAAAUCUUUGUCACUUUUUGUAUAUGUGUAUCGUUGUUUUGUAAUGCUUAUUAUAAAGUACGAGUGAAAAGACGUGAGAGUAAAAUUUCACAUGGGUAAAUUUUAAAAUUUGGAGUGUGACUCAGCCAGGAGUAGUAUCAGAGUAGUCUCCUGUCGGUAUGAAAAACAGGUCUUCUUGCAGGACUGAAUGUCAACCUGCUGUAUAUUCUUACUGAGCCGACAAUUUCUUUUUUCACCUGCCACACAUCUACCAAUGUAGAAAAUAGAUGUCCAGACACACACAGGAUAUAUCCAAUAUGCAAACUUUAUCGGUGGUGAACGACACAGUUUCGGUUCACCUAUGAGCCUUUCUCAAGCUUGAAACACCUUCAAUAUAACAUGCAUUUUUGGGCACCUUUUCUAAAGAAGGGUAUUACAACACUAGAAAAAGUGCAGAGGCAGGCUACUAAUUUAAUAAGGGGAAUGGAAGAUUAUAGUUCUAAAGAAAGGCUAAAACAUUUAAAUCUGUUUAGUUUUAAAAAUAAAAUGGUGCCUCAGAGGAGGUAUAAUAAUAAAGGAAUGGGUUGUUUAUAGUAAAAACAAUAAAGAUGUGGAAUUCUCUGCCUGAAGAGUUGGUUUUAUCAGAAUCAGUAUAGACUUUUAAACAACGACUGGAUGAAUUCUCUCAAAAAAAUAUUCAGCAAUGUAAUAUUUAAUAUUUGGUAGUAUUAUUUAACUGCCAUUCUGGGGUCAAGAAAAAUUUGUUUUCAUCGCUUGUUGCCAGACUGGAAAAUGCUUUAAACUGUGUGUGUGUAUUGGGAGGGGGGCUACAUUUGGUUCAACAGCUCAAGAGCAGAAACAGAUGUGAGAAAGGCUGAACGUGAGAAAAACACAAGUCCUUUUUGUCAGUCUGUAUAACUAUGUAACUACUCUUGGGUUUAUUAUUAUUUUAUUAUUUAUAUAGCGCCAUCAGAUUCCAUAGCGCUGUACAAUGGGUUCAGAGGCCUGUCUGUCCUAUUGUGUUCAUGUUUCUUUUUUUUGUUAGUUGGUCCAUUUCUAGUCUAGCUUCAGCUCUUAAUUGUACUGAUAAAAAUAAAAAAGGGGGAAAAAUUAAUAAUGUGCAGAAAUUGUUUUAAAAUAAAUACAUAUACUGCAUGUAGGAUGUUCAGGAGAACACUGUGGGUCCAAUUCUAUUACAAGUGAUAUAUGAUAUGACAACAAUAUUUUUUUAUUGCCACUAUUAAAUUACUGCUCACAAUAAAUAUUUAUUGCAAGCAUUAUUUUUUUCCCUUAGUGUUAUGGGACCACCAGAGGCUGUGGUGAGAUUCUGAGCUGUGCAGACUGUUUUUUCCUUCUUCCUGCACACUCACCAGUAUGAAUCCCUUAUCCACUAACAAUGGUGUGGUGGGUAGUGCAAUUUGUUUAUUUAAAGCUUCAUAACACUGUCUGAUCUACUGGAACUUAAAGGGACACUCCAGUGACAGGAAAACAAAUCAUUUUCCUGGCACUGCAGGUCCCCUCUCCCUCCCACCACCCAUCCCAUGUUGCUGAAGGGGUGAAAACCCCUUCAGUGACUUACCUGAGACCCCCGCCAAUGUCCCUCAGCUGUGGUUUCGGGUCCACACACGCUCCUCCCCCGCCCACGGGCGCGCGCAUUAAACCUCUCCAUAGGAAAGCAUUAAAAAUGCUUUUAAUGCUUUCCUAUGGGGAAUUGAGCGACGCUGGAGGUCCUCACAUAGAAAACCUGUGCUAGAAACCAGGAAGUGCCCUCUAGUGGCGGUCUAGUAGACAGCCACUAGAGGAGGAGUUAACCCUGCAAUUUAAUUAUUGCAGUUUAUGAAAACUGCAAUAAUUACAGUUGCAGGGUUAAGGGUAGUGGGAGUUGGCACCCAGACCACUCCAAUCGGCAGAAGUGGUCUGGGUGCCUGGAGUAUCCCUUUAAAGCAGAAAGUUAUCUGAUAAAAAGUUAUUUUUCAUAGGCAUCAACCUGUAUUAGAAAAGAAAUAAAUUAAAUAAAAAAUUACACACUUUUACUUGCUAUGUUUAUUUCGUCUGUUUUCUUUUUAUUUCAUCUUUGCGCAGGGAGAGAAAGGCAGAGCUUUACGACAAGCUGCAAGACAUAUGCCAUAGACAGCAGACUGCACAAAGGAGGAACCUUAAUUUAUUGAGUGAUUUCCACAGAGUAGAGCGAGAGCUUUCACUCUUAGCUUCCAAAUCAGAUAGUUUUAAGAGAAAGAGGGUAAGUUUAUCAUUUUGAGAUGCAAUCUCUGAGAUAAUGUCUGCAAACCACCUUACACACAUGCACAGU